rnacentral:rRNA from 1 species
GUAAAGCGAGCGCAGGCGGAAAAAUAAGUCUAAUGUGAAAGCCCUCGGCUUAACCGAGGAACUGCAUCGGAAACUGUUUUUCUUGAGUGCAGAAGAGGAGAGUGGAACUCCAUGUGUAGCGGUGGAAUGCGUAGAUAUAUGGAAGAACACCAGUGGCGAAGGCGGCUCUCUGGUCUGCAACUGACGCUGAGGCUCGAAAGCAUGGGUAGCGAACAGGAUUAGAUACCCUGGUAGUCCAUGCCGUAAACGAUGAGUGCUAAGUGUUGGGAGGUUUCCGCCUCUCAGUGCUGCAGCUAACGCAUUAAGCACUCCGCCUGGGGAGUACGACCGCAAGGUUGAAACUCAAAGGAAUUGACGGGGGCCCGCACAAGCGGUGGAGCAUGUGGUUUAAUUCGAAGCAGCGCGAAGAACCUUACCAGGUCUUGACAUCUAGUGCAAUCUGUAGAGAUACGGAGUUCCCUUCGGGGACGCUAAGACAGGUGGUGCAUGGCUGUCGUCAGCUCGUGUCGUGAGAUGUUGGGUUAAGUCCCGCAACGAGCGCAACCCUUGUUAUUAGUUGCCAGCAUUAAGUUGGGCACUCUAAUGAGACUGCCGGUGACAAACCGGAGGAAGGUGGGGAUGACGUCAAGUCAUCAUGCCCCUUAUGACCUGGGCUACACACGUGCUACAAUGGGCAGUACAACGAGAAGCAAGCCUGCGAAGGCAAGCGAAUCUCUGAAAGCUGUUCUCAGUUCGGACUGCAGUCUGCAACUCGACUGCACGAAGCUGGAAUCGCUAG